rnacentral:tRNA from 1 species
GACCGGCUGAGUUGGCUGGUGCCGGCCGCGGUCUUCAAAACCGUCGGGCAAACAAUGCAAUGUUUGCUGUUCAGUUCGAUUCUGAAGCCGGUC